rnacentral:rRNA from 1 species
GACGAACCGUGCGAACGUUGUUCGGAAUCACUGGGCUUAAAGGGCGCGCAGGCGGUCGUUCAAGUCGCGUGUGAAAGCCCCCGGCUCAACUGGGGAGGGUCACGCGAUACUGAUCGACUCGAAGGCAGGAGAGGGUAGUGGAAUUCCCGGUGUAGUGGUGAAAUGCGCAGAUAUCAGGAGGAACACCAAUAGCGAAGGCAGCUCGCUGGGACGUCACUGACACUGAGGCGCGAAAGCGUGGGGAGCGAACAGG